rnacentral:lncRNA from 1 species
AGGUAUGGACAAGGUUCUGACCCUUAUUAUUGGAACUCAAAUCCAGAUGGAGUUUGUUGGGACUUCACAUCAUUGGAAGGUGAAUAGAAAAGUAUGUCUUAAGAAUUUCACCAUGUUUUGGAAGAAUUGCAGCAAGAAAAAAGAACUCCUUUGUUUCCACCCCAUUUCUUUUAAGGAAAACCUGGAAUAUCUGAGGGUGCAAGCUGAGAAAGGUCUGCUUAUCUGUUCCCUACUCUGGCAAUCAAAAAGGAUCCAAGUCUACUGUUCUCUUCUCCUGGCACUCUUAACUUGCACACAUUGCAACCUUUUAUGGCAAAGUAAUGGUCAAGCUAUCCUAACAAGGACGAGCCCUUAUUAAAUAAUUCACUGUGGUUGGGAAAUGGUGAGGAAGCCAUCUUCUUUUGUCUUCUUUUCUCUGAAAAUAAAAUUUUGUCUAAUUUUGUAUUAAGGACAUUUGGGCUUCACUUAAUUACAUUCUCUACUUUCUUUAAUAGCUCGAAGCUCAUGACAGUACAUGUCUGGUCUUGCAAAACAAGAUGAAUUUGUUAAAUUAAACUUUUAAAAAAA